rnacentral:tRNA from 2 species
GGCUCGAUAGCUCAGUCGGUAGAGCAACGGACUGAAAAUCCGUGUGUCGGCGGUUCGAUUCCGUCUCGAGCCA